rnacentral:rRNA from 1 species
AUUGAACGCUGGCGGCAGGCCUAACACAUGCAAGUCGAGCGGUAGCACAGAGAGCUUGCUCUCGGGUGACGAGCGGCGGACGGGUGCGUAAUGUCUGGGAAACUGCCUGAUGGAGGGGGAUAACUACUGGAAACGGUAGCUAAUACCGCAGAACGUCGCAAGACCAAAGAGGGGGACCUUCGGGCCUCCUGCCAUCAGAUGUGCCCAGAUGGGAUUAGCUAGUAGGUGGGGUAACGGCUCACCUAGGCGACGAUCCCUAGCUGGUCUGAGAGGAUGACCAGCCACACUGGAACUGAGACACGGUCCAGACUCCUACGGGAGGCAGCAGUGGGGAAUAUUGCACAAUGGGCGCAAGCCUGAUGCAGCCAUGCCGCGUGUAUGAAGAAGGCCUUCGGGUUGUAAAGUACUUUCAGCGGGGAGGAAGGUGUUGUGGUUAAUAACCACAGCAAUUGACGUUACCCGCAGAAGAAGCACCGGCUAACUCCGUGCCAGCCGCCGCCGUAAAAC